UUGGGAGUUUGAAUUUUGGACUUUGAAAUGGGUUGUAAGUUGAUGACAUCCCUUAGUAGCAUUUUGGCUAACAUAUUCUCUGUUUUUUAAUCAUAUUCUCUCUUUUUCUCCUCCCUAUCAGCUGUCGUGAGCCACCCUCCUUUGGAAGUUCUCUACCAUUUUUUUCACUUUUUCUAUUAUUGUGUGUUGAUCAGCAUUUCUCCUCUACCAUACCACCACUUUCUGACCAUAACUAGCAUACCACCACCACGAAAACCACCUUGUGCCACCACUUUUCACCAUUUUUCAUUUUGCACCAACAUUCUUAUCUACACCAACAUUCUUAUCUAUUCUUUCUUUCUUUACUCUCUUUUCUCUUAUUUUCAUUUUCUUUAUCUUCUUGUGAUUUAAAUAAUUGACUAUUCUUCUUUCUUUACUCAACAUUUUUUUGAACCACCACCAUUGUUAACCACUGUGCG
rnacentral:lncRNA from 1 species